CAAACUCCAAGCGUGGCUUGAUGUUGGGCGAUGUCUUUUUGCGAGAGCGGAGACACGUCUGGAACGCGUUGGCGCCGCCGCCGGACCACGAGCGUAGCAAGACGAGAGUCAAUCGCAUCGAUUUGGUUUCCGACGGAGGUCCGCCUCUGGAUUGGACUUGUCCAUUCCUACAACUUCUCAA
rnacentral:misc_RNA from 1 species